AUUGAACGCUGGCGGCAUGCUUUACACAUGCAAGUCGAACGGUAACAGGCCUUCGGGUGCUGACGAGUGGCGAACGGGUGAGUAAUGCAUCGGAACGUGCCCAGAGGUGGGGGAUAACGCAGCGAAAGCUGUGCUAAUACCGCAUGUGAUCUGAGGAUGAAAGCGAGGGACCAGGCAGCAAUGUUUGGCCUCGCGCCUUUGGAGCGGCCGAUGUCAGAUUAGGUAGUUGGUGGGGUAAAGGCCUACCAAGCCGACGAUCUGUAGCUGGUCUGAGAGGACGACCAGCCACACUGGGACUGAGACACGGCCCAGACUCCUACGGGAGGCAGCAGUGGGGAAUUUUGGACAAUGGGCGCAAGCCUGAUCCAGCAAUGCCGCGUGCGGGAAGAAGGCCUUCGGGUUGUAAACCGCUUUUGUACGGAACGAAAAGGCUCUGGCUAAUACCUGGGGCUGAUGACGGUACCGUAAGAAUAAGCACCGGCUAACUACGUG
rnacentral:rRNA from 1 species